rnacentral:lncRNA from 1 species
UUUUUUUUUUUUUUUUUUUUUGGGGUUAAUAGAAGGAAAAUAAAAAGGCUGGUAAUGUCUCUAUGAACACGGGCGCCUAGCAAAACGCAAACCUAAGCCAGAUGCUUAAUAAUUUCCUUUGCUGGUAAAUUAUUCUUGGUGCAUCGAUAUCGAAGAAGAAUCUCAUUAAUAGAUGUGCCAUGAAUAAAACAGCUACAACUUGAGGGAAACUGCGUUGAGAUUUGAAAUGGUAUGGACACAAUGCACUUUGCUUCCCCUUUGAAGUUGGUUUUGUUUCGUUUAUCAAGAACUAGGAACAUUGGAAAAAAGAAUAAAAAUAAAUUUAUGCACCUUUUUCAAUUUAUUGCAAAUAUCUUCUUAUUCAUAUAUACUGAUAAAUUUUACUUCAACACGAGGAGUUGAGGAUGUCAUAUGAUCAGUUAUCCUUUUUCUUUAGCUAAUUGCCAAAUUCUCGUUGCACGUUUUAAUUUCCUUACGCUCACAACUCGUCUCUAAAUAGAAAUAACAGCAGAACGUGCUUUUCGUUUUUUGUUUAUUUUUCAUUUAACGUGAUUGCACAUCUCUAAUGAUAACCUCAUUCUACUAUAAAUAUUAUCAGGGUGUUUCAUUAAUUUACAAAAUAAGAUGUUUUGGGAAUGAAAAUAAAUAUCAAUCAAUUACUAGGAGAUUCUCGCAUUAAGAAAAAAAAACAAAAUAAAGAAAUUUAUAAAGUAGAAAUAGAAGAAGGAAAUCGAGCCAAAAACAAAAAGAAUCAAGCGUAAGCAUUUGAAAAUCCUCAGCCCCCGUGUCAUAAUCAACAAAAAAGAGUACCGAUGAAUGAGACAAAAUGGUCUAUUAGUUGUUGGGUGGGGAACAAAUCACAUAGUAAAUCCAACAAUUAACCAACGGGUUAGGGGUAAAAGGCACAAAAAGUCAGGGGUAUUAAAGAAAAAGCAAAAGCAAAAUUUCACACAUAAAUACUCGUCAGUCCUUCACGCCAGGGCCUCGCGGUGCAUGAAUCAGUCGGAUGCAUUUGCAUGCCGCCUUCCCUCUUCCAUUUCAUCAACCUUCACUUAGAGAUCAUUUUCACCCAAAAUCACCGCCUCUUUUUCUUUAAACGAAAAAAACCUUGAUCUCCAUUCCAUUCCUCUGCUCUUCCUUUUUUAAUUACACUGUUUUCCGUUGUCAAGUUAAACCUUUUCCUCAUUUCAUUACAUUCCUUAAUUUUGUUUUUUUCCCCCCUUUAAUUUCCUCAAUCUUGCAUUUCUCUUCGUCUCCAAUGAAAAGAGACUCAAUUUUUGUAGCAAGAUUCCGCUUUUGGAUGGUGGAAAGGCGGAUGUUAUGAACAUUAUUCAUUCAUUACAAGCCGAGAAUCUUAUCCCAAAGUUGGUUUGGCUUUCUAGGGGCGAGUUUUCUUAUGCUCUCUUGUUUUUUAGUCCAGUUCUUUAAUAUUUAUGCUGAUUUUCCUGAAACUAUGGACUUGUUCAGUUUUUAUGUUUUCAUGAAAGACUGCCAUUGUUUAUUGAAGCCAGUCUGUCCUCCCACAUGUACUCUAUUGCAUUCACUUUACGAGGUUAUGUUCAUUGCAUCGUUCAUCAAAUUUGAUUCUAAACUUUUGAUUGAAAGAGUAAAAUAGUUAUACUGUACCAAACAACUAUCUUGCAGAGGCAUCAGCAUGACCACUCGUAUUUUUUCACAAGAACGAUCAUUGCAUGUACUAUCAGCCAUAAUUAAUAAGGUGUAAUAUUCGAAGCAUUUUACAGGUUGAGUCCACAUUUUCUUUUUGCCAAAGAAAGUGGGGGCCGUUUAUUUCUUCUCUUUCAGAGGGUUCAAAAUACACAUUUCAGGUAUGUCAGAGUUCCUAUUUAUGUUGAAUGAAGUUCAUAAUAUGGCUUGUUCUGUUCAAUUCUUUCGAAAUACCAUUUUGAAGCAAUUGAAUUUGGACUUCUGAGGUUUGACUUGGCCAUAAAUUAGAGUCACCAUUUUCAUGUUUUCAUGGCUGAUGAGGUUUGAGGCCUUAUUAGCUUCUGGUGGAAAUAAAUUAAUUAAAAGAAUGUCUAGUGUGAUUGUAGAACUGGGCUUGUCUGCUGCAGUUGCAUUGUAUUGCGAACUUAUCCCCUUGUUAAGGUUAGAUUAUGAUAUGUCUCAACUGUUUUCUCAAAUUUGCAGGUGAUACGUAGUAGUAUUGAAGGACACUAUGGCUAGUGUUUCAGAUAUUAGCGUUUCAGCUGCUAUCAAUCUUCUUUCUGCGUUGGCAUUUCUUCUGGCCUUUGCAUUUCUACGGCUGCAACCAAUUAAUGAUAGAGUUUAUUUCCCAAAAUGGUAUCUCAAAGGUAUAAGGGCAAGUCCUAGAAGUUCGGGACCUUUUAUGAAGAAGUUUGUCAAUUUGGAUAUAAGAAUGUAUUUGAAAUUCUGGACUUGGAUGCCUGCGGCAUUACGGAUGCCACAACCUGAGCUUAUAGAUCAUGCAGGGCUCGACUCAGCUGUAUAUAUUCGCAUUUAUCUUCUUGGGUGAGUUUCUAAUAUUCAAGCCUAUAACACGAUACCGUAAUUAGUAUAACAAAGAGCUCAUAGACUCAAGGCUAUACUAUUAGCAUCUUGCGGAAUGGAAUCAGCAAGUUCUGAAGCAGUAUAGAAAGAUAAGUUUCUAUUUUUAACGUUUCUCUAAUUCACAAAUUAAAUGCAGAUUGAAAAUCUUUGUCCCAAUAGCCAUACUUGGUUUUGCUGUCCUGGUGCCUGUCAAUUGGACUGGGAAAACAUUAGAGCAUAUUCACAACUUAACAUUCAGCAAUAUUGACAAGCUUUCCAUAUCCAAUGUUCCUUCAGGAUCAGAGAGGUAAGAGUCUAAACUAUGUCAGUCCCUCUCGGACUCUUCUCUGUAUUUGGUGUUCCAGGUAUCAAGAUGGUGGAACAGGGAAAUUUUCCAACUUUUUGUUGAGUAAGCACUUCAGUGUAUGAGUAGGUUAUUGUCAGAUCAUGAUGCAGUAAAUCAGCAAAUAAAAAACACAAAUCUAUUUAAUGUCUACUGUCAACUCUAAUUGAUGGAUUGUGGUUGUAAAGCAUAUGAGAGCUGGUUCUCCUGUACAAUUAAAUCAUAUGCAGCUACUUAUGGUUACAUUACUUCAUGCACUCUCUUUGUGAGAUUUAAUUCUUGAGAUCCUGAACUGCAAAGAACAUACCUCUAAUCCUUCAAACUAUUAGUCUCUGUUUCAGAUAAACCAUUAUCCUUUAUGUGGAUUUUUAUGUAACAAGUACUUCCAAAAUGUUAGGUAUUCGUACUGCAAAAUGUGCUGCAUGUUUGUUGGCUAUGCUACUGCUUUAUUGAGAUUGGCAUAUGGAUGCUAUUUGAUGGCUUCUAUGAUAUUCUUAUUUUGAUAGUUAUGCUGAUGGGAUAUUCUCACCAAGGACAACAUAUCCCUCUUUCUUUUCAGGUUGUGGGCACAUCUACUAAUGGCAUAUACUUUCUCAUUCUGGACAUGCUAUGUUCUUUACAAGGAAUACAAGAUUGUGUCUACCUUGAGGUUGCAUUUUCUUGCUUCUGAAGGUCGUCGUCCAGAUCAGUUUACUGUGAGUAGGUCACAAGUUGUAUUGACUAACCAUGUUUUGGUCUGAGUUUCUCAUGUUCUCACGGGUUCAGAUUGGUAAAAAUAGGAGCCUGGUGGAAAUACAUUAUAAAACUGGUCGUUCACUUGGAAGAACUUAUAGGGGUAUAGCAUACUAGUAAUAUAUUUGCUAAGGGAGGAAACUCUUCUAUAGGCAACCGUCUUGCAUACAUAUUUGAUUCAUGUUAAACUGCAUCGUGUUUAUAGAAGGCUGUCUUAUACAUGUUUCAAUGAGGUGUAUGUCUGGGUAUCUGAUAAAGUCCCACACUAGUAAGUCUUGGGAAUGAAUGAACUUAAGGUCUUUACCUCUUCUAGAUAUUCUUUUGUUUUCAAUAUGUGAAAGAAACAGACAGAGUACAACAUUAAGCUUCUGAAAUAACUAUGCAGCAUCUUAUUUUUUGUAAAGUUGGUCUUGUUGGUCUCCAUAAUAUUUCUUUUUCAUUCUAUCAUCAAAUAGAAGGCAGGUCGUUUUGAAUGUUAUGGUUACCAUAUUACUUGCUCACUUUAACACAGUUGUGAAUGCAAUGGUAACAUUUGAUACCACAAGGCUGAGUCAUGUCAAUUUAACUACUUGUUCAAAUUUGGACAUAUAUUUGCUUUAUCUAGAGAACAUAUUUCUUCAAUCAGGAAUAGGUAGAGUUGAGGCUUCUUAAUGGGUUGGACUUCUUCACAUGUGCUCUGGCCUUUACUGUUGCCAUUAGACUGCUGAUGAUCUAAAAGAAUACUGAUCAUUCUCAUUUAUGCAAUCUUCUUGCUAAGUUGGAUAUAUCAAGUUUGAAAUUUGUAUACCUAAAUUAUUCAGUUCUAAUAAAAGGCCCAUGUAUGUGGAUACAUCAGAGUAUCAAAUUAAGCUUGCAGCUAUUGUUUCCUCUGCAAGUCACCAUCAUUUUCAUUGUAAAUGGAUUACAAUAUGUCUCUAUGUGUCAAGGAGGUAUCCUCAUGAUUUGCCAUGGCACUUACAUGUAUACAGUAUUCGUGUAGUCUCUCAGGAGCAGGUCAUUUUCUGAUCUAUCUAUGCUAAUGUAUCCAAAUAUUGCUGCAGGUUCUUGUGAGAAAUGUACCUCCAGAUCCUGAUGAGUCAGUUAGUGAACACGUUGAACAUUUCUUUUGUGUAAAUCAUCCGGAUCAUUAUCUCUCUCACCAGGUGUUAAGCUUAUCAAAAACACUGUUUAAUAUCUUGGACAAUCUAUUAGAGUUUUGUUUUGCCUUCCAUAUAUAAUCUGAAUCAGGAAAAUAUGUGUCUUUUUUGAGGACUAAACAUUGAGAUUAAAAACUUUUUGUAGAAAACAACAUUAUAAUCUUUUGCUUUCAAUUAAUGAAAAAUAUUGGACAUUUUCAUAUGUCAUGUUUUCUGCAACAUUCUGAAGUAAGAUGUUUUAUUAAUUUUACGUAGGUCGUAUACAAUGCAAAUAAACUAGCAAAAUUGGUGGAAAAGAAGAAGAGUUAUCAAAAUUGGCAUACUUACUACCAAACCAAGUACGAGAGAAACCCCAAAAAAAAGCCGACAACAAAGGUAUUUUAUCCGUAUGCUAAGAUGCUAGCUAGUUGGUCAACUUGUAUGUAAACAUUAUUAUUAUAUAGCUUAUUCAAGUGAUACAUGACAAUAAGUUCAUGACCUCACAUUUAGACACGUGUAGACAGGUUUUUGGGGACUUUGGGGAAAGACUGUUGAUGCCAUUGACUACUAUACAGCUGAAAUUGAAAAGUUGAGUGAAGAGGUAAGUUUCUUUCACUCAUAAAUACCCCAUGUCUUUUUUUCUUUGAGUAAAAUAAAUGGCCUGUCUCAAUACAAGAAUCAUGAAUUAGCAUAAGUCUGUUUGGAUUGGGAGUUUUUUCCAAAUACAGUUCUUCACAAAAAAAAAAAAACACACUUCAAAUGCAAUGUCAAAUACACUUUAAAAAACACUAAAAAAAAAAUAAAAAUCGUACCACCUCUUUCUUCCUCAACUCCUACCGCCACCAUCAUCUCUCUCUUCCUCCUCUUCCCUGUUUCUCAUCUCGCCUCCACUACCCCUCCAUUUUCCUCUCUUCGGCGCUAUCACUGAUGCCUCCACCAGCCCUACCUCCAGUGCUUGCACCACCACCUAUGUACUCUUCCCCCUCCUCCUCUCUCCUCCUUCUCUUACCCCUACCUCCCCUCAUUGCCCCCUCUCCUUCCUGCCUGCAACCAGAUAUGGUCAUCAGUCGUGACUAGUCUAAGAGGAAGAGGAAGAUGGAGGAGAUAAGAGGAGGGGAAUGGAGGCAGGGGUGGGGCAGUGCUGCUGGUGAUAGCUAGGGGAAGGGGGUGGUAAGUGGUUAUGGUGGGGAAGAAAAAGAAAUUUUAAAAAUAUCUCAAUAAAAUUUUAAAUUUUAAAAAUACCCCCAAUAUAUACAUCUAAAAUGAAAGGUUUUAAUAUACAAAAACAAAACUACAAUAAAAUUUUUAAAAAACACCUAAUUUGUAUGGACCCUAAGUAUCAUGGACAUGGUUUAAGAUGGUUUACUUAACAAAAAAGCAAAUGUUCUUCUAGCCUUGAUUUUCUUAGACUGUAUGUGUCUAUAUUUCUCAAUCAUCUACUAAAGCAAUUAGAUUCUUCACAAGGUUAAUGCAUUUAAAGCUCAUGGAAACUACUCCCUCCGUCCCAUUGAUAGUGUCAUACUUUCCUUUUUUAUCCGUCCCAAAAUGAUUGUCACUUACUAAAAUUGGCAAUGAAAACUCUCACACAUUUCCGCUCCAUACCCUUCAAUGUGACAGCCUUUUCUUUUCUUUUAGUGGGCCCAAUUAUGCACUUUCCAAGUACCAACACUGCACUUGAUAGAUCGUGAUUCUCACAUGAAAUGCAAACAACAAUCGUGCAUGACACUUUCCUCUAAAGUAGUGUGGAGACUUUUUAUUCUUUUGGGUCCCACAUGUCUUAUCACAACUUAUGACCCCUUUAUCAUUCAAUCACGUAUGGAAACAUUGAAAGUCAAGGGGUAUUGCCGGAACUUAAACACAAAUCAUUUAAAAGUCUUGCACUGUUGAUAAAAAUUACAAGUUUCGAAGCGCGACACAAAUUCUGGGACGGAGGGAGUAGAAUAUUAAAGUACAGGCCUUUGGAAGGCUUUCCUAUACUCGGCUUUGGUAGCUCCUAAUUGUCCUGUUAUGUUGGAUAAUGAAACUAGAGAAAUGGAUUGUCAUGAGAAAUCCCAAUGCCAAAUUGAGAGUGGAAAAACAAACAACAGUUGCAUAAUGAAAGCAUAUAUUAGUAUGUUGCAUCUCUGUCUUAUCAUGAUUACAAAUCCUUCAAUGUUGAACUAGGAAGCUACAGAAAGAGAGAGAGUCAUGAGUGAUCCUAAGGCCAUAAUUCCUGCUGCAUUUGUUUCAUUCAAAUCCCGAUGGGGUGCAGCAGUUUGUGCACAAACCCAGCAGUCCAGUAAUCCGACAAUUUGGCUGACAGAAUGGGCUCCUGAACCACGUGAUGUUCAUUGGGCAAAUCUUGCAAUGCCAUAUGUUGGACUCACCAUUCGGAGGCUUUUGGUUGCUGUUGUAUUAUUUUUCCUCACUUUCUUCUUUAUGAUCCCUAUUGCAUUUGUGCAAUCUAUGGCAAAUAUCGAAGGAAUUGAAAAAGUUCUUCCUUUCUUGAAGCCAUUAAUAGAAGCGUAAGUAAAUUUUUUUAGCAUGUACACGUUAUGAUUGUUUCAUAUGUGAUUUUUUUUUCUUCCUCAUUAAAAAACAAAUUAACCUCUGUAUUGCAGGUCUAGUGUGGGUAUAGCAAAUUAAUGAUGCUUUCCAUGUUCGUCCAUAAAAUUUAAUCUAAGAGAAGAGAAUUUAGAUCUUUUUGUUUUCCAUUUCAUAUUUAAAGACUUUCUUUUUUUGGUAUUGGUCCAUAUUUAUACUCAUCAAAUGUUAGAAAUUUCUGUCACAGCAAAACAGUCAAGUCCGUCAUUCAAGGUUUCCUUCCAGGAAUUGCUCUGAAGAUAUUUCUGAUUCUUCUUCCAACAAUUCUCAUGACCAUGUCGAAAAUAGAAGGCUUCACAUCCCUUUCAUCUUUAGACAGAAGAUCUGCUGCAAAGUACCACUUGUUUCUGCUUGUUAAUGUUUUCUUUGGCAGCAUCAUCACAGGAGCAGCAUUUGAGCAGCUUCAGAGUUUUCUCAAGCAGGCUCCAACGGAGUAUGUUCCCUUUCAUUUUAAAAUGGGUAUUAAUUUGUCUCAAUCAGAGUUUCUUCCAGUUAUAUUUAAAUAUAUAGAUGUUAUUCCUAUGAAUAAGAUCCAGUUUAAGCCUACUUCAUAUAUAAGGUCACAGGGUGGUCAUAAGCUCAUUUUAACUCAUCUGAUAUCAUAAGUUCCUUAGCAUCUAAUGACUCACUGAUUGAGACCUUGAUCGAUUCUAAUGAUCGAGUCUUUGCAAACAUAUAUGUAAUGUGUGGCUGCAGGAUACCAAAAACUGCUGGUGUGGCUAUUCCCAUGAAAGCAACAUUCUUUAUCACUUACAUAAUGGUUGAUGGUUGGGCUGGCAUUGCUGCAGAGAUCCUUAGAUUGGUUCCAUUGGUUAUGUUCCAUUUGAAGAAUACUUUUUUGGUCAAAACGGAGCAGGACAGGGAGGAUGCCAUGGAUCCUGGUUCAAUAAACUUUGCUACCUCAGAACCCCGCAUACAGUUGUACUUUUUACUGGGACUUGUGUACUCGGUUGUCACACCUAUACUCCUUCCAUUCAUCAUCAUAUUUUUUGCCUUUGCUUAUGUGGUUUUCCGUCAUCAGGUAUGUCUUUCUUAAAUGCUUGUAUGAUUAUCCUAAAUACAGCAAUGGAUGCAGAAAAAUAAUUGUGAUAAAUACAAAUUGGUCAUUGCUUUUCAUACUGUGUUCGUCUUCUUCUUAACAUUUUGUAUUCUGGAGAAGUGAAUAUAAUUCAAAAUUUUUUCUCAUGUCAAGAUCAUCAAUGUGUACGACCAAAAAUACGAGAGUGGGGCAAAAUUCUGGCCAGAUGUGCAUCGUCGUAUAAUUGUUGCUUUGGUAAUAUCGCAGCUUCUAUUGAUGGGGCUGUUAAGCACCAAAAAAGCUGCCAAUUCAACACCAUUGCUGAUUGUACUUCCAGUCUUGACAAUUUGGUUCCAUCUCUUUUGCAAAGGGCGAUUUGAGUCAGCAUUUGUAAAAUUUCCAUUACAGGUUACAAUCUGAUAUUGUGUUUCCAUAGCUAUUCAGAAAUACUCAAAAAUCAUCUUUAGCGGUGACUGAUCAUAUAAUCACUGUGUGUUCCAGUAACAACUCUUUUUUUGGCCGCAUUCUUAUAAUAAUGUUUCUGUUAUAUUAUUUUUGGUUGUGUAUAGGGCUAAAAGUUGUUUCUUAAGGUGAUGGCAUCUGAUUUGUUGAAUGCAGGAUGCAAUGGUGAAGGAUACAUUGGAAAGGGCCACGGAGCCAAACCUAAAUCUGAAAGCAUACCUCCAUGAUGCUUACAUACACCCGGUUUUCAAGUGUGUUCAGCUUGACAAGCCGAAAGCAGUUGAUGAUGAGGAGAAUAACCCACUUGUUGCCACCAAGAGAAAUUCCCGUAGGGAUAGUAAAACUGGGUCCGAUGGCAUUCCUGAAACAUCAGUUUGAGAUACUUCCCUCAUAUGCGAUUUCAGUAUAAUUUAUCUUGAUUCUUCUUUGAAUGCGAUAAUGAUUUACUUGCACCAGGGUUUGUGAUUGCUAGAAACAGUUUUGGAUGUACACUUGUUGAUAGAUAUGGCAUUAACUGUGCAUGUACAUAAUGAUUGCAAUCAGAGCUAACGUUGUCAAACAUUUUGUCAUUUUUGUCAAACUUUACUUAACAGAUGCUUCAUCAAUUCACUUUGUGAGCCCGUCGUACGGUCAUAUAUACCUCUCGAAUAGUCAUAGCAAUUCUCUGAGCUUGUCAAGACUCAGAGAGUAUCACAAGUGGGGAAAAAAAGAAAGAAAUCUCCCCUCCCAUUUCCACAAACAUGAAGUAAUAAUACAAAAAAUAAUAAAUAAAGCGGCCAAGGCAAUCUUUGCGUACUUGAGUUCAUUCCCAAGAGGCCGAGAAUGUCAACGAAGCCUGUCAUCAAAAUUGUGAAUGUCCUAUGACGCUACUAUUUUGCAGUGCCACAAAUAUCCAAUCAAUCAGGAACGAAGGUUGUAGUUCCUGGUUCCAAACUCUAGACAAGUAAAAUAUAUGAUAAGAAAACUGCAGUAUAAAUUAGGACAAGAAAUUAAGAUACCGUUCCAUUUCAAACCCAGGCGGCUCCUUUUUAGAGGCGCAAAAAUAGAGUAUCUUUAUUAUGUACAGGGCUUCAAUAUCUGUUGCUCUAUUAUGAUAUACAUGGCAGCGACUCUAAAGCAGCUAGAUGAACUAGGGUUAGAUAAGUAUCUACCAGGAAAAAACUACACUUCAGCGACUAGUUGAUGGAACAAAAUUCAGUAUCCAGUUUCUAUGAUUAAUUCAGCAGCUGCACCCAUUGCACCAACCCCACUAACUCCCAACAAAGCCAGAGCCAAUUCUUCUUCAUUCCACUGCUUAAGUGCCCAGCUUAGCCUCUUCAAAACAUCUACAUCCACCUCAUUCAUCCAUUUUGGUGUACAACCCACCAUCAAGCUCACAAACCCUGAAACAUAUGCUCUCCAUGUUGCCUUGUUACAACCAAGUGAUAUCUUCCCAUCAACUGCACUAGCCAGAAAUUCUAAGUGUGCUCCAAGAAUCUUUGCUCGCCGCUUGGAGGCCCCCAAUGACGAGUCUACUCCCCAUCCAAAAGUUCCAGAAAGCACUGCAAAAUAUGCAAGAGCAUAACCACCCAGCAUGGCAACCAUUCCUCCCGGUUCCCCUCCAUUAGCUUCUGACCCUUGGGCUGAUAUGAACCAUGAUGGCAACGUUUCUUUGAUCAAGGAUUGAACUAAACUUAGUCCACCUGUAAUCCAAACUAUUGAAGCCCCCAAUGAAGCCGCAACCUUGACACGAGUCAUUGCAGCAGCGAGAGAAACCUGACCAUAUUUCAUGCUGAAUUUUGAUUUCUUUAAUUUCUCCUGUUUCUCUGCAGGUAAACCACUACUUACAAUAUCUUUAACAGAUUGCAUCAAGAGAGAGACAAUUUCUUCAGUCAUGAACAUGACAUUUCUUACAGCUCGAUGGACUCUCAAGUACAGUAUUCCAGGAGCAACAGGAUCCAUACCACCAUAAAAAUGAGAGCCAAAUCCAUGACCAAGAAGACCUCCCACGCCACCAUUGCUUGAGAUAGAAGAAGAAUUCAACCCAAGAGUGGUUGUGAAACACGCCCUGAGGAGUUGGACCACAGCAUCACUAUUAUGAUGGAAGACUGUCUGGGAUGCAGAGAAAACCAGAAAGUCAUUCCAACGCUUCACUUUUUGGGCCCACAGAGCAACUAUAAUGGGCAUGCAUGGCCAAGGGCAACCAAUGGCAAGGUUACGUAAGGAAGGGCCGACCAAGUUAAGGAAACGGUCAGUGCUUCUCUCAAGUUUAUAGGUUAUCGUGAGGCUCACAUAGGCUGCAAGGGGUAAAGGUAGGGUAGCUGGAGAAUUGCCACCUGCAAUGAAACCAAAAUUUUAGGCAAGAGACUGACAACUAAGUCAUUAAAAACCUCUAAUCCCAUUAUACUAUCCAGCCUAUGCAUACAAACUGCAAAACAAAUGUCAAUAAAGACAGUUUUAUGAACUACUUGUUAGGCCUUUUUCCCCAUUGACUAAUUGAAAGAUUAAAACCAGGUAGUACCCAAUAACCGCACAGGACACAUAGUUCAACUUUUUUUUAACUUGCGUUUCAACAGUACAGAAGUCAAUUAGUUCAAUAAACAAUACUAUCUUAUGCAACACUUUCUAGGCUAGAGGAAGGAGUCGAAUGACUAAGACAAAGUACACCAAGAACAUACCUACAGGUAAACUUGGUAUAUCAACACCAGUGGCAGCUAAAAUCUUCUUUAUCUGCUGUUCGACGUUGGCUAGAUUUGCGGCUGGACUUGGCCAAUCAGAACCAUUCAUACAAGCAUUCUUCCACACACCUCGUGUCACUUCAGCAGAAAAGUAACUUGCAAUUGUUGCCAAAGAUGCAGGGAAAAAAUCGGCCAGAUCUUUGAGCCCUAGAAACAGUGUGUACGAAUAAGUUAUGAAGAAAAACAUUUAAACUAUCUAGAAAUUUUUAAAGAAGCAAUGAACGACCAGUCCUAACAAAGAAAUGUGCAUGCCAAGUAAAAAGAACAAGGAAAAGGCAGAAAUCAAAUACCAAAAAAAAGGGGUUCUUUUCAACAUUAUUACAAAGGUAAUGAUUGCUUAAUAUUUGGUUAGUGAUAGGAAGAAAGGAUACAGCAGUUUGGUCAUGUUUCUUUUUGAUUUAGUAUGUGCAGGAAAAAAUGAAUAAUGUGUUGAAAUGUCACUUAAUUUUGGGUGUACACUGUGCUGACAGAACUUUUCCUAAUGUGCCUCAUAGGGUGUCUAUCAGAAGUUAAAGAGUAUUGUAAAAUCAAGGGUAUGCAAAAACUGUCCAAGCUAUUGAACAUGUAAACAAGCAGAAAAUUCAUUGGGCAAUCAUGAAAAUGUCCAACACCCUAUGAAUGAGAUAAGAAACUAUUUUGACAGGCAUAAAAAUACCUAGUCAACAUUGGAGAGAAUAUCGAUAUAUCACUGUGCAACUCAAACAAUAAACCAUUACAGAUGGAUUGUGGCAGAUUACUAGAUUUCUGUCCAUACUUCUAUCAAUGGCAUAGAACGGGCUCUAGUGAAUAAAUAUUAUCUUACCAGAAAAUUAUCAUCAUGAGUUAGACAAAUAAAUAGGCAUUGACAAAAAUUAUAAGAAAAUAUAGCAGCAUUUUUUUUUAAAAUGUCAAUAAAACUCUUGAAUCAGCUAAACAAUUAGAAUUCUAGCAUAUAGUUCAUGACGCAAUAAAUAGAAAUGACAAAGGUCCCCAUUUGUUAAGUUCCUCAGACAAUUUACUAACCCGUAGCUAGUUCACGAGGUGAUAGUGUUCCAUGACCACAAGCUGUGAGGGCAGCAUCAAGCAUGAAAGGAAUAGCUUCUAAAAUAUCCCAAGCAGGGAUUUUAAGACGAAGGGAGAAGUCAUCAAUUCCAGUUCCAGAUGAACUAUUACUCCCAGACGCUGUUGGAGUCAUUGGUUGAGCAACUCUGUUUAUUCUCCUAAACAUCAUGGUCAAGAGGCUAUCGACAAUCUGAUGAACAGUUCCAGGUACAAGGCCAGAUAGGGUUGAUGCAAUACAUGCUUGAUUCUGCCGGUACCACUGUUUUACUUUUGGAAAAGAAUCCAUGACUAUGGGUUCUCUAUCAGAUGGACUUGAAAGUCUUGAAAGUCUCUUGCUCUUAGAUUGCCCUAUAGGUGAAUUCUCGGAUGACGUCAAUUGCAGGUUGCGCACCAGCAAAAGGUAUUCAGGAGUCAAAUGGGAGCCCACAGGGGGCACAUCACCAAAAACAUGUUCAAGUGGUGGUUGAUCAAAUCUCCAUAACUUCAGCAGAAGAGUGAAUGCAUUCGAAAAGACAAUGUGGGUAGAAAUUUCUUCCCCUGUUGUAAGAGUCCAUGAGACAUUGGGAGCACAGGAACCAAAAACCUCACAAAUUGGCAUCAACGCACCAGCAAGCUGUGGAACCUGGAAGACAAAUCAAAUUCACUAGGACUUUAUGUAGCAAACAAGCCAAACUUGAGCAGCCUUAAGCUUCAGCAUCUUUGCAUUAAUUUCCUCAAACAAAUUUUUAUUUUCUACAACACCUACACAGUUAUCAUACCACAUAAAAGCAAUAGCAGGCUUUUGCUGCAAUUGACGUCCAGAAAUUCCACUAAUUUUCAUGUAAUGUCCCCCCAAUAUGUUUAAGCUACAAAAUGCAGGACAGCUACGUAAAUAACUAGUUUACGAAAGCCUGCAAAAGCAUUAUUCAGCAAUAUAUAGAAGUAAUACAACAACAUUAUUCAGCAAGCUCAGAUCUGCUAAAUUCAGAAAUUUUGUCAUUCAUACUACAUAUUUCAGCAAAAGCAUUAGUACAUAAUAUUUUCACCUACCAAUCCAUGCAAGGAAAAAAUCUGGAUUGUGUCAACAGGUGAUAUCCCAACAAGAAGAACAUUCAGAAAUGGAGCAUAGCUAAUUAAAUGACUCGCUGGGCCAGAAUAAUCAGCAGGAAUAGGAGGUGAGAGCAGUCUAGUGAUGAAAAGAACUGUAUGUUCCUGCAUAUGGAAACAAAACUAUGUUUACGAUGGGGCAGUACAGAGUUAAAGUUAUAAUAAAUUAGAAACUUAGCUGCAAAAGGAGAUGCCAUUCCUCAAAUUAAGGAACCAUCUAAAAAGACAAAUUACUCGGCAAUAUUAUUUACUUUCUGAGGUAAUGACAUGUACAUAUUAGAGGGGUUCAAAAGUAUUGUGCACUUAAUUAAAUAAAAUUCACAAAGCUCUGGUCAAUAAGCUCACAACAGGAUACCUGUAUAUUCCAACCACGAACAAGAGAUGCCCCGCAGAGAACUGUAGCAGCAGAAAUUUUCUCGUCAUUUGAUCCAUUGGCUGCAAUCUCAUAUACUUUCUCUAUUUCUGCUAAGCUUCCAUCAAACCCAUGAGCUUAAAUUCAGUUUCCUUAUCACUGGGCAUAUUAACAGAAACAGAAUCUGAUAUACUUGGCUACAGAAAGAGAAGGCUCUAACUAAUGACCAGGCGACUUCAAGAAAAGAUAUAAUACUUGUAGCCAUCAAAUAUCAAUCAUUAGAACCUUGGGAUUAUCUUCUUUACAAGGACAAAAUUGAAAUAACAUAACUGGAGCCAUCUUUAGCCCUUUGAUCUUGCAAAAGGCUUGACUUGCUUAAACUUUCCAAAACUCAAGCUCAAUCCCGCAAUGUCUCCACUUGUGAUAUUAAUUUCUUGUAUUUUUUGAGGCUCUUUUGAGGUAGACAAAAUUUUUAACAUUUUUCUAGUAACUCAAAGUUUCCACUGUAUUACAUAAAAAUAAGGAUGAUUUAAGCUAAUUUUAUUGCCACCAAAAAAUAGACAUAUACUACUAAGAAAAUAUCUCAAGCUUGAUAAAGACGAGCCAAGCUUAUUGCACUAGGUAUGUGCCAACAGAAGAGCUGAAUCAUUGUAAUCUCAAUUCAUACUAUAAUAAAAGAAGAAUCCAGUCGAGCUUAGACAAAACCAAAUCAGCUAUAUCUCUGGACAGCUGACACUUUAAACCUGUACCAAUUGACCGCUUUUUCUUUGUUCGGAAGUGUCAAAAAUCCCUUUAAUAAUUAAUGGGCUGUCAGUCAUGCAGCCAGGAGUUCAAUGUAUACCAAACAAGACAAUGUCUGUGUAUAACUAAAAUACCUCCUAAUGGAAAAGUUAUUAUUCUUCAACAACUUUCUCAACCGUCUUCCCUCCAGAUUUGUUCAAUAUUCAUAAUCCAGCCUUAAAUGCAGAAAAGACCUUACAGCAUACCGUCACCUAAUUUCAUUUCAUUGACAACAAAAAGCAAGAAAGAUGGAAGACAGAAGAAUAGCUACAAAGCAUUAAAAAUGUAACAUAUUAUAGUAAGAUAUAAAGAAAACCCCUCUAAGAACCCUUUUUCUCCUACCUUGAAGCAGGAAUUGAACCCAAUGCACUGACCAAUGGAGGAGUUAAAGGAGAUCCUUUCACUAAAGAUGACCAACCAGGCAUUUGGCCAGAUAUGCUACGUGGCAUUUGGUUGGUGCGGCCUUUCACAUAGCCAGGCCAUAGAUAUGAUGAAGUAUCCAAAAUUUCUCUAGCAAUGCAAGCUUCAACAAUUAGAUGCAGCAGGUUUCCAGCUACACAGAGUUGCAAACUAUCAGAUAUGGAAAUGGAACACGGAGCCAGGCUUCAGUUCCCAGCUAUCCAAAUACAAAUAAAGAACCAACAAGGUAGCACAAUAAACAAUAAACUUGAGCAAUAUCUUUCCCAUUAUACUCAAAGAUUCAAGCAAUAUCUGCAGGGAUGUAAAUCUAUUAUGGUUUAUACCAUGAAAAUAAAAGUCAAGCACACACUGCAAACACUUAUAAAAGCCAAUUAUGUAACUAUAGAACUGAAGGAAUUCCACUUACAACAAAUCCUACAAAGCUGCAGAUCAAAAUUUUGAGAACAAAAUUUCGUGAAGCAUCUUGAAAGCAGGAAACAAAAUUUCGUGAAGCAUCUUGAAAGUAGGAUCUAAUAUAACAUUACGAACAACAAUCUAGUUGCUUUACACCAUGUAGAAAGCAAAAAAGAGAUACUCACAACAACCCAUUGGCAUAUCAUUUAAACUUAUGCCAUCAAAAUAUCCACUGCCAACUGAUAGACCUGAAAGGAACAUCAUCGCCUUCGCAGCAGCUUGAUUAGCCAAUGAACUAACAGAUAGAGGUGGAGUCAACAGGCCUUCAUAAUCUUCUAAUUGCUGCAGGCUUGCCACUAGAUCUUUGCGACGCUUUCCAACUGGAUGUUUCUCUUUUCUUGAACCAGUAAGGUGGCAGCUUUCAGAUCCACCAGAACUUUCUUCCUCCUCAAUGAUGUUCACAAUUGCAAGUGGGGUGAUAGACAACAACAAACACAAGCAGGUAUCUAUGCGUGGUACAGGUGCCUCACUUGAAUCCCUUUCCUAAACAAAGAGAAUUAGGAAAACUCAGCGGGAGGAGAACUAAUUACCAUGUACAAGAAGUUUUCAACGAACCUUCCAAAUGAGGUACAAUGAAUGGCUUAAAAUAAUAACCAACUCCUUAAAGAUUCACUUAAAUCACAAGUAAGCUAACUAGGUAACUUGAUGCCUAUCUAGGCAUGCCAGGGUGAAACAUCUUAUAUGGCCAAAAAAAUGUCUACCUACAGUCACAGAGCCAGGACCCUAAGAUUAGGGGAUGAAACUGCUCUAGUACUCUUAAGCAACCAUCAAAGGAGAGAUUACAAUUUUUUUACACAAUACACACAUUCACAAAUAUAAGAAAAUAAUGAUGGCUCUCUUAACUUUUUACAGAUCCAAAAAAUUAUAGUAAGAUCUGAGACAACUACAAAAUGCCUAAAUUUAUAGAAAUGUACAUAAACAAUGAAUAAAAAUGUAGAUCAUAUGUCAAUUUAUGCAUUAGUCUUCAAAAGGCUUUGCAAUUUGUAUGUUUCCAAGUGGCAUUUAUUUUUUAUAAUACAUAGGUUAUCGUUUUUGAUGGUAAGAUUUAAAGACUUUUAUGUGUGUGUAUAAUUUUUUUUGGGGUGGGGAGGGGAAUGCAAUUAUGGGACAAAAUUUAGAUUAUUAAAACUUUUCCUAGCCUACACUCAAAUUUUUGAAAGUUGAGGGGCAGCAAUUGCCCACCCUCACAGCACUGUAGCUCUACCCCUGUCCACAUGGUUAAGGGAAGACUUGAUCAAUUCACAGCAUCUGAAAUAAGCCAAAUGGUCCAAUUUGUCAUAACUUUUUAAUAAGUAAUUACAAGCUUAGAGUAGAAUGCUCCACAAAUAACAUACUGCUCUCCUGCAGACCAAAGAGCCUCAAAAGUAGAGCUGUAAACGAACCGAAUCGAACCGAAUAUCUCAUGUUUGAGCUCUGUUCGUUAAGCGAUUCGAACAACAUUCGUGUUCGUUCGUUAAUUUUCGAACUCCAAACCUGUGUUUGUGUUCGGCUCAUUAAGCAAAGUUCGUGUUCGAGUUCGAGUUCGUGUUCGGCUUGUUUAACAUAAACGAGCAGUUCGCGAACAUGCUCGAAUCCAAAUUAUUUUAAGCCUUAAAUAUGCCAUGCAAAUCAUUAAUCAUUCUCAAAAACAAUUAAAGCACUAAGUGACUAAAUUCUAUUAUUCAUUAACUAUAUAAUUAACAUUAACAUAAAACAACAAAUAAAACAAAGCAAUUUGCCCUCCAAAUAUAAAAGUCUAGCUAUAAAAUUAGCCCUAAAAUUUGUCAAAUGAUAAUUAUGUUCGUGUUCGCAAACGUUCGUUAAAACUCGUGAACAUGCUCGUGUUCGCUCGAUUAUUAAUCGAACAAAAAAAUUCGUUCGAACUCGGUUCGUUUAAGGUUUCGAACGAGCCUUUCACGAACACAAAUGAGUCGAAACGAACCAAGCUACCGAACAGCUCGGUUCGUUUAACAGCUCUACUCAAAAGCACAUGAAAGGACGUUUAAAAAUGGUAUCGAUUUUAUAUUACCAUAACUGGUUCAGGAAACCAAAAAAAAAAAAAAAAACCCUAGCCAGAGAAGCAGCAAAAUCCUAAUUUCUCAUCCUCUGCCUUCUUACCCUCUGAACAAGCCUUAAAGCAGCAAUCCACAGGCCAAGAAAUGUAUCCUGCCAAGUUGUCCGAUUAACAGCCUGAAUAGCCUUCACUAGACCUGGAAUUUUGAUCUAGUUUAUUAUAUUCUCCAGGAAGUAUGUAACACACAGGUCCCCCUUAGUUCUUGGCAUAACCAGAGCUUGAAUACAUAAAAGAAGCAUACCAGUAAGAGUUUCAACAGCACUUGUAGCUGUCACUUGUGAUCCAUCCAUGGUAUCUUCCAAAAACAUAUCAAUUGGAAGCCAAAGUGCUGAAAGACUUGUACCGUGGCACUGACCAGCAGAAGAUAUGAGCGAUCCAGAGACCAUUACUGCAUGGAACAUUUGCUGUGAACUUGUUUUGCAUUCCCGUGAUAGGACCCUACGUGUACUGGACGUCAAUUCUAAGAGAGCUUCUGGGGAAAUAUUCUUCGAAUUUCUCAAAGCAGUUGAUUUUCCUGUGAGCAAGUGCAAAUGCUGAAUGAAAGAUUCCCAAUGCCCAGGCCUAAUAAAAAUAGAAAGACCAAAGUGUAAUUAGAUGCCAAUCAUGAUGCUAUAUAAGCACCACAACUGCAAUUACCAAAUUUUAUAGAAAUACAAUUCAAGGAACAAAUUCAACUGUCAACUGUCAUGUCCUUUCUCCCCCUCUCACUCCCCCAGGCAGGAAGAUUAAAGGGAAAUAGAUUCUAAACUGUGCACCAGUAAUGAUCAACUGUACAAGGAAGUCACAAAGGUCUGCACAAGAAGUUUGAAUAGAACAUUUAAAAGGAUAAGAUUCUCACAUGUUCCGUCCUGCCAGAUAGAGAAUUCUGGAAGAUACUUUAUUUCGGAAAAAUUCCCCAAUUAAUUCAAUAGCCAAUACAGUAUUCAUUUUCGGCAUGGCUUCCUGAUUUUCUGUAGUCUUCAACUGAAUGCCAUCAUGAUUAUCUAUUUCCAUAUCUUGAUUCCUGGUUGCCCACCUGGACUUCUUUUCAGGAGUGAUUUCGAGCAACCCCUCAUCAUCAAGUGAUGCAUCAAGCAACUCCCAUACAAUUGAGAACACAAAUUCAACAACAAGAAGCCCAGGUUCACAUGCCUGAAGCCCAAACAUUUGGGUAAGAUGAAGAACAUUGUCUAUAGACUCCAUAAUCCUGAAAUUGCAUUUGCAAACUAGUGAGUUUCUGUAGUUAUAUCAAUGGCAUAAUUAGAAAGGACCCUCUUGUAUAGGAAGCGAUCAACAAUGUAAACUGAAUAACUGCAACUCAUGCAUUGACUAUUGUAUAGCCGUGACAGGAAAAUAUAUUACUCACGAGAACUAUUAGCUAUAUAUAUAUAUAGACACACACGCGUACGCCUGUGUGAGGGUGAAGUUCCUCAUGAAGUUGCAAUUGAUGGAGAACGCCAAUUAAUUAAGCAGCUAACAGACGGUAUUGCUUCAUUUAUGUGAAAUAAGUAGUAAUUAAUGAAACCAUAUGAACAAAGAAAUCAGAGCCUAGAAAUUCUAUGCGAAUUUUCAGAAAGCAGGACAAGCUUCAAAAUGACAAAAAGAAAUCAUACUUCGGAUAGUUGGGGCCAUGCAAAAGAGAUGGCAGAUAAAAGGCAUAUCUUUUAAGAAGCUCCAUAUACAGCCUGUAUGCCGCAGGAUACCUGUUUCGAUUCGGAAUUACCCUGCAGAAAUUUUUUUUUAGAAAAAAUGGAGGAAAAUGUUAAUCCAGAUAAUAAAGGUCUAAGAUACAGACAUACACACAUACACGGAGGGGGUUACUAUGGGAGGAAUAAGAGCUCAGCACCUGGUAGAGAGAAGAGCAAGGACGAGCAUAGGGGGAACGAUUCGGAGGGUGAGAGCUUUUUCAAGAAAUUUCCAGGCGGCAGGAACGUUGUUGGCCCAACAAAUGUGAGAGACGAGAAAGUUGGCAAGGUCCGGUGAGGGAACGGAGAGACCAGCGGAGGUGAGGGUGGAAGACAACUGCAUCGCCCACAUGAGAGGGUCCAUGUUCCUGUCUUGCGCUGACUUGGUCAACUCCAUCACCCCCUCCCACGGGCUCCCUCCAUGUCCCUGAUUCUCAACAAACCCUACCCCUUCCGACGCCAUCAUAGCACUAUGAGUAUUUCUUUCGAGUUGUUCUACGCCAAAAAAUUCCAAGGUUACAGUAACAGAUCUGGGUCAAGCGUGCUCUAUCUCAGCAUGAAGAAGAAGGUCCAGAAGUGAGUAGCGUACCAUUCGGGCCGUGUGAGCGAGAGAGGGAGGGAGACUUUUUCUAGUCCACUGUCGUGACUUGUGACUGUGCGUGCUGUGUGUGCCGGGGAGCCACCUGAUGUUGGGGUUUCCAAAAGAAAAGUCAGUUUUGGGGGGCCUGGGAAUAAUACAGUAGCACUACGACUUUAUUAUUAGUAGUAUAAGCUUGAUUGGCUAUUUCUUUCUCGAUCUUGCUGCUUGGUUUCAUACUCAGCCGUUACUAAAGAAAUGUCAAGGGAUAAUUUGAGAAAACUCUCCCUAGAUUUCUUACACUUUCACUUACUGCCAUCCUCUGAGAUUUACAAAAUAUCACUAAUCUCCCUUAAAACAUAUAUCCGUACAAUAAUUUUUUACCCCAAUUCAAAAACAAAAAUAACAAUGAAGAAAAUAAUAAUGUUUUUACUUUUUAAGUGGUGCGGCAAAUAUUUGAUAAACGGUGCUGUAGCCCCUGCUACUUGUAAUACAUAUUAUUAAAGGAUAGUAGAACAACCCAGAAAAAAAAAAAAAAAAAGUAGAACAAAUCAACCAGGAUAUCCAAUUCCUGAUGAAUUGGAGGACCAUUUUAUUUUUUCCCAGGUUAUGCUGCUGAUGCGGCGUAACACUCAGUUGCCAUACCCUAAGGAGGGGGAGCGGAUCGCUCGAGCUAUUCCGCGGGGACAAAGACCAGCCACGUAGAGUGACAAGUCGUGGGAGACAGGAGUUGAACCCCUGACCUCUAGCAUCCCCAAAGAAGGGGAUGACCACCGGACCAAAUGGCCAGUGGCGGCGUAACAUUCAGUUGAGGGUAGGAACUGGGAAAAAAGAGGCGCAUCAGUUCAAUCGCCAAGUUUCCACAUGUGAUAUUUUGGUACGUAGCUAAUGACGAGCCUCAAAAAAUGCAAAGGCGUCAAUAUGAUAUAAAAGGAAAAAGAAAGACUAAAACUUAAAUUGUUAAACAAAUGAGUCAUUUUAAAAAAAGUAACUCAAAUUUGAUUGUAUCAUCAGUUGAAACUUAUAAAGUAUCAUCACUUGACUCGGAUCAGUUGUCAUACCGACAAUUCAGAUAUAAAAAUUUAUACGCUUUCACUAUCAUCUUUUAGUUUCUCAAUCAAAAAGCGAAAUUUAAAAAAAAAAAAAAUUAACAACAUAAGGAAUUUUAGAUUAACUAGUAGUUCAGCAAAUCCAAUUAAAACUGUAUAUCUUGACACGAUGAACUCUACCACCAAAGCAGAACAGUUGCCAAAAAAACGCGGCAUCCAUGAAAGAAGUCUCUCAUAAACUUAAUGCACAUCAACAAAAACUCUCCAGUCAUAAUAACUAACCUCUAAAAUGACCAAAGUAAUGUACAAUGAGAAAGCAAACAUCACUCCCUCCAAGAAUUUGACAUUUCAGCUUUAACGCAAGUAUUGCAAGCAUGUUCAAAGGCUUGGCUUGAAUCCAAACACCAACAUUUAUAGUUUGACCCGGAUAUCCUAAAGAGUUCAACUGGCGUCAUUUGCUCAAGUUCAUUUAGUUUGUAUGAAUCAUAAACAGUGCUUGAACAGAAAUUGUCUUGAACUGGCAACGACCACCCAAUCCCAUCCAUCCGGUGAUCUUGGGAGCGCAUUAUCUUAUACAACCUCAUCACAGAGACACAAUCUUCGUAAGGAUCGCGCACCCCAAUUUGGAUAUCAUACCUGUAAAGCAAAAACGAACACAAUAAACAAGUUAAUAAAACUCUCUAAGAAAGAUAAUUGACGUAUUACAGAGUUUAAUGACAUCCAGAAGCAUUGCAGAUCCAGAAAAAGAAAUUUGAUAUGAUCCAUUCCUGUUAUACAGCAUACAACAGAAGAACUUCAAACUCAUUAUAUCACAAUAAUGCAGGUAGCUCUUGUUUUUACACUGUAUAGCAUAACUAAAAAGCUAACUAUAUGAACUGAUUUUUAAUCCAUUUCGGACGCAAUAAGGUUUCACACUAAAUAAAAGGGAAAAAAAAUAUUUAACCAGAUUCCAUGUUUAGGCAUACACUGACUGCCCAAUGUGAGAAAAAAAAAUGAAAUUUCUAUUCUUCAUUUUUUGAAAUUGCCUUUCAGCAUGAAAUUUUGACAGAGCAUCAUCGUGAAACACCAAUGAUAGUUAAGAAAAAGCUGAGAUUAAGAGCUGUUAUGUGAAAGAAAACCCAAACAAUAACUGAUAGAUUAUUUAAAGCUAAGAAACUUGCCCUAGAAAUGUCUUUGUAAGAUACUUGAGUGAGUGGCUGACAAGAUUAGUCUUCAUCAAGGGAUGGUAUUUUGCAGUAUCCCUGCAUGUACAAAGAAACAGAUAGGAAAAUAAGUAUGUGAAAGUAAACGAAGCAGUGAAUAGAAUAUAGAAUUUCUUUUUAAAAAAAAUGACAGUAGUUCUUUUUUGCCCCUCAAAGUUUAGGUACAAGGGUCAGAAUGCCCACAUAAAUGAUCCAAAAAUGGAGCUCAUUAACAACCAAGCACAACCCUUGGACUAUGUCAACCGCUUUAAUAAUGGUUAUUCCCAAAUUAUGCAAGCACGCAUUUUAUAUAUUUUCAACUUCAGCAUUUUCUAAUUGAAAAGUGAUACAAAAGAUGUCACAAAAGUCCAAUUUAAAGCCAUAAAGGAUGCUAUUCUACAAGUUUUGCUCUAUUCCUAUCUUUCUCUGACUUUUUUCUUGUCUUUCAUCCUUUUUGCAGUUGACGGUUUCUGGCAUGGUAAACUAAUAACACAAUUAAAUUUUAUAAGACAAGACUUCAAAACUUUGUCAAAAGGGAUUCCAACAACAAUAUGGAAAAGUCAAAUCUCAGGAGCAAUGAAAACAAGUAAUAAAAUAUGCUGAAUGUCAUGUACGACCAAUUGAAGUUAAACAAGUAAACAUGUUGCAGUUUGUCCAGAAAAUGCUGGUUUCUUUGUUAUAAAUACAUGCAAACAACUGUAGAGUGCAUUGGAGGAUUUGAAUUGCUCAGGAAACUAUACAUGUACUAAGGAAGAGCUAAAGAAUUAAUCAAUGUAGCCAUUAUCCUGCAGAAAACAUGAGAUAAGAUCUCAGUCAUAAUCAAGGACCAAACAUUCUCGAUAUCCAAAAUUAUAGCAAUUUUGGAUUAAAAAAACCUCAGUAGAUGAUCAGGAAAAUUCAUUCUCAAGCAGUCCAAGUCGUGCUCAAGAUUAUGACCCACAAGAACCUUGGCUUGUCCGCCACUGCACCAUAUGCUCUUAACCGACUCCCCAUUGCAGAGAAUCUGUAGAAUUUGGUCUUGCACUUCCUUGAGUGGCAUGGCACCUUUCAGGUGUUCCUCUUUGAUACCAGUGACUUCAAACCUUAUGCAAAUUGUGCAGAGGAACAUGAUCAAAGCGUACAACCAUAAACCAUAAAACUCAAAACAACAAAAAGAUUAUGGAUAAAGAUACCUAUAGUCAGUCACAGGAAUUUGAGGUAGCACAUAAGUGUGGAAAAGUAUCUUCUCAUAUUCAUCAACAAGGCACACCCUCGCACAGAGAUCAAGUGACCCAUUGCUUCCACCACCUACCAUUUCACAAUCUAAGGCAAUGGCUUCGUAACCUCUCCCAAUGCCUUUUUCGAUGUCCGAUGCUAACUUAUUAAUUUGAGGUUCUACACAAGGCAACUUCAUCAUUCCCUGCAACACCAUACUGAGACAGUGAUGUAUAUUCAUUGAUAGCAUUUGUUAACAAGUUAUGUAAUGGUUUCCGCGAUAAGCAUCAUUGAGAUUAUGAUAACAGAUAACUUUAUGGAACAUAAGCUAUAGACCUCUCUGGAGUUAAAUAAUAAGUUACAAGUAAAUAUUUCUAAUCCAACUCACAAGAGGAUCAGGAGCAGGUAACUGACACUUGUGACUUGUAAGAGCAUCCACACUGUCAAACAGUUCCAAGCAAAGUAUGCAACCCCUCUCUGCAAAUAUUCUUGAACAAGAUGGUUUAGACAAUUGACCUACAAGUUUAAAGGACAAAAAGUUGACAACUAACCAGCUUGAAUGACCUUCAAAUUCCAAUCAGAGAAUCUCCAUGAUCAUUGCAUAAUAUGUUACCGUGGAUGUGUUCCCUCAGAGAUUCGAAGGAUUUACAAUACUUGUGACAUACCCCACAUUUAGGCUGAUGAAUAGAGUGGUAGGAGGCCUUCAUGUGUUCAAUGAGAUGCUCCUUCUUCUUAUACUGCUUGAAACAUGCUGCACAUUUAUGCCUGGGAAAAGGUCCCCAGCAGUCAAACAUCAUUAAUACGCAUUAAGGGGGACACCAUCUUUUGGAUAUGAAAAGAGAGUUUUGGGCCAAAAAAUAAGGCUAAGGUGACCUCGAAAAGAGCAAAGAUUCUGAAAUAAAGCAGAUACAAUAGGUCAAAUUUUAAUAGUAAAAAAGUCCGCAUUCUUCCAUAAUGACUCAGAGAUUUUCCAUUCGUUAAGAUCUUGUUAACUCUCAGGGAACCCUAAUAAUUUGUUAACUACAUGAAUGACUACGAUUGCCAGAUUCUGCAGACAUUCUCUGUUUAAAUAACUUAGAUAAAGCAAGGCAUUUCAAGUCCUCCCCUUUCCCAUUCCCCUUGGGAGGCUUGGAAUCUCCCUCGAACAGACUAAGUAAACACGAGCAAGGCAUCUUAAGUUACUACAUAAAACUACAGAGAACCAGGAAUCCUAAUUUUAGAAGGGCAAUUGUAACUUUAAACAAACAAAAUACAAGCAAGCCACAGAAGGUGGUAAAUUUGACCUGGCACUUAAAUUCCAGUCCCCCUUCGGCGUGGAAACAGGUCGGAGCAUCCCAAAUUGAGAUAUUAUUUGGGAGAAAUUCUUAAUAUCAACAACCAAAAGCAAUAAAUGUCGAAGACCGAAAAAAAAAAAGGCAAUAAAUGUAGAAGACCAAAUUGCUGGAAGAUUAUGCACAAAAGUUACAUGCUUGGUAUAAAAUUUUCCACGGAGCAUAAAAAUAUAGGUAGGGCGCUCACAGCCGGAGUACCUAAUUGUGGGAAUUGUCGUCGUUGUUAGGACUUGUUGAGGAGGAUCUUCGUCUAACUCCAUGAAAAUAUCAACCUAAAAAUGCUUUUAAAGAUGAUGGAGAAAGAAAAUCAAAGCAGUUUUCCUCAAUAAUUUGGACGCUUCGAAAUCUGUCUGAAGAACUUGAAGCCAGGAAAGGUUUUUAGAUUUAGCGGUUUUGCAGUUGCUCUCUCGUCUUCGAUUCCGCGGCCACGAUUUGACACUAGAAUUGGGCGGCCGUUUGAUACAGUUCUUUUUUUUUUUUUUUUUUAAAUGAAUGGAAGGAUCCAAAGUGGAAAUAUCAAUUUACUUCAGGCCAAUUUAAAUGCUAAUAUUUGACCUGUCAAAACAAACACCCAUGACCCAACUACAGGGAGUUGGGUCUGGAACACAGCUUAAAUCCAAGUCCAUCAUCAAACCAACAAACCAAAAAAGUGUGGUCUCCAAAAACUAGACCAUAUUAAGGAAGGGAAGGAUGUCAGGAACCAGAAGCAGGCGGUGCAAACUCUGAAGCCAAAUCACAUGACGCUGCAGUAAGGGGCGGUAUCAUCAGCGCCCGGCGGAUAAGCGUACGGUCCAUAACCAUAACCACCACAUCCAUGGUGGCGCUGGUAAGGAUCCUGAUGAUCUGCCAUUGCCCUCCUCCUUGGGCAGAAGGGUUGUUGGCCUAGAUGGCAGUAACCAUUCUGAUCAUACCAUGACGGGCCCCUUCCCGUGUACCUGCCAUGGCAGCCGGAAUUAUGGCAGUCAUUGCUGAGCGCAGGAUGCUUCAGCCUAACCCAUGCUACCUCCGCAUGCUUCCCACUUCUUGAUAAUGCCAUUAGAAGUAUGUUUGGAUCCACCUCGCCGUACACUUUUGCUAGCCCUUCUCGUGCAUCAACUUCCACCGUAUACACACCUGCCACCACAUAUAUAUACAUAUAUAUAGUUAGAAAGAGAUGCUGCCAUAACCCAUGAGGAUAUUUCUAUGUCAUCUCAUGUGGUUAAAGUGAUGAAUUACCAUUCUUUUCGUAUACCAGUCUGAUCGCUAUACUAGUAUACUACAAAAAUCUUCAAUGACAAAAGUUGAUCAGAUUAAAAUUAUCAAAUAGGAAUACUACUUUUUUUUUAAUAUAUAUAUAUAUUAGCAUAACUUAAUUUUACGUAUGAUGCAACUAACUGGAGUGAAGGGAUCAUUACCGAUGAUGGAACUCAGCACCUCGACCACCUUCAUCUUACAUGCCUCGCAAUGUACGUUUACUUUCAACACACAACUCUGCCAAUACAGAAAUUGAAAUUUUGUUAUAAUUAUGCGUACAAGUAUAUAUAUAUAUGGAGGUUAGUACGUAUUGAUUAACACAUCAAGUUUUAAUUACAAAAUAAAUGUCGUCUGGUUACAACUUACAGCAUCCGCAUAAGGCUCCAUUGCACCAAUCUCAGGGGCACCAGCAACUACCCCAAUUAGAUGCAUACACCAACAUGCAAAAACCACGAAUGCGUCAUUUUAGAACAAGUAGUAUUCACCAAAUUCAUCGAAUUGCACUAGUGAAGAGUCACUCACAAAUUCAUCGAAUAAAUGAUGUUACAAAAAGCUUCAUACUCAAAAUUUCAAGUGGAUUUUUUCCGGCCUCAGUUCCAUCCCUAGAUUUGUUCUUGAUCAUCAAUUAAGAAGUUAACAGACGGAAUGAUGUAGUAUUUGUUUUCACUCGUUCAUCAUUUGACAAACUCCAUUCUAGAUUGGUUGGCCUUUUGACUGUUCCAAAAUUCAUCCAACGUACAACAACGAUUAAAAUGGUUGCUUCAUCGAUCCCAGAUUCAGUAAGGUAUGGUACGUAUGUUAAACAAUGAUUGAUAGAAAAGAAAGGUUAAAAAAACAAGAACUACGUCGUCUUUAUUCUAUAUCAUGAUUACCAUCCCUGUCGUGACAGCAUUUGCAGAGUAUGGACGACAUGCAUGAAAGCGAUGUAACAAGAAGUUUUUUCACUCUUUUAGUCCAAUUGCUGUCUCAUGCAUCAAGCGAUAUUGAGAAGGACGAAAAGCAGCAGCAGAUCGAGAGCGUACCUUUGUUCGAGUGUCAGGGAUUUUCUGUGCGCUUAACAGCAAGAAAUAAGAAUCAAUAAUAAGGCGAAUGAAUCGCGAGAUCGGUCGAGAGGAAUUAAUAAGGUGAAUGUUUCACGAGAGAAGGACGGUUGGAGCUUAUAUAUUAUGAGAAACAAAAUCUCUGGACAAAUCUCGAAACUUAAUUGCACCCAUUCUUACUUGAGUCAAGUUUCUUUAAUUAUCUUUCAUUAGUAUAAAGGAAAAAAGAUUCUUAGCAACAUACAAGAAUUUGAAGGUCCGUAUCUUCUACUCCAAAUGAAUAUAUUUUUUGUCCGCGAACUUCCCUUAGAUGCAAUGGUCGGUGAUUAUGAAAAGAUUCAAGGAAAUGCUAGUCCGGGAGCCAAUGAGGAGGUUGUAUCCAUAAUUGAUUUUUUGCGUAUCGAGAUCUCCCAAUUUUUUUAAUAGGUACCUUCCCUAGUACGUGUGAUAGUUUCUAAUCAGAAAGAUAAUAAUGCAGAGUUUUUAGUUUGAAGAAUGUUAAUUAUCUCAGUAGAAAUAUACUCUCUCUCUCUCUCUCUCUCUAUAUAUAUAUACACACACAUACACACACACAGGACAUAAAACUUGUCAAUGAUUGUUGUUUUUUUUUUUUGGGGGGGGGGGGGGGGGGGGUGGGUUGGUGUUGAUGGCAAAAACUGAUUUUAGGUUGAUAGCUUGUCAAAAUAUUUCCUGGUGUUUCCCACGGGUGGACCGUCGGGUAUGAUGAUGAAGAUGAGAAGGCUGUGAAAAGUGCAGAAGAGGCCCAUCAAGACAUGCUGAAUUGGUUGGUGAAGUACGUCAAGGCAUCAUGCAGCAUCUGGUGGGAAUUUAAAUAAGGAACCAAAAACUAGCAGUAUUAGCUUUAACUUAUAAGCUGUGCUAGUAUGAAUUAAGGAACAAAGAACAUUCUCAAAGUCCUAGACAUGCCAUGGUACGUGUGUUGUUUGUUUCAAGACAUGCCAUGUUUCUCAAACUAGUAGUUGCAUAUGAUUGAAACACAGGCUUGAACAAACUUAGUUGAAAGUGAACACCAAAUAAAUUCCUCCUUAGACUAUAGGUAGGAGUUCAAAACCACACCUGCAGCAAAAAAAAAUUCAAAGGUGAUGCUAUAGCAUCCUCUUGUUCUAAUCAGGUCUACAUACCUACUAGCUUCUACAUACAAGCCUCCUUAGGCUUCUCUUCCUCUAUAGAUUAAGACAGAAUAGGUUAUACAAUUGUUAUCUUGCCGGAAAAAAAAAAAAAAAGAACACCAAAUAAAAAGGUAUACAAGCGAAGUAUAUACAAAGAAAAAUGUGCAUAAAACAGGUUUUGUAGUUAGAGAUGACAUUAGGGCUCUCUAGGAGAGGCAAAGAUCUAGCGCACGUUCCUGUUAUUUGCCAAUAACUCCAAAUCACAAAAAAAGGAGAAAAUCUGGAGUUAGCGAUAGAAAGAGCCUAUCUACAUAAUUGUGCAACCACUAUCAUCUCCAUAGGAACCAUAUCCAGAAGCUCCAAAGAAACCAUAACCGGGUUGUGACAUUCUGGGAUGAGAAUAGUGGUCAUCAAGGUGACUCCCAUGGUAAAACAUGGGACUUCCUCCGUGGAAAAAUCGGGCAGAGUGGUGGGGAUGAUCGGCACUGUUCCACGCAGGUACCUUCUCAUGAAAAAUGGGUAUUCUGUUGUGAAGUUUGCAGAAAGGAUCCCUGCAUGGUUGUGGAUCAAAUUUGGGCGGUACAUAAUCUUCAAAUUCGUGGUCAUCAUCUGUAAGGCCUGGUGCAACCCAAUGAGUACAAACAAUUUCACAAUGAUGCACAAAGAUAUAUCAAAUUUAAGCACAAUAAAGAAAAGUUAAUUAAAGAGAAAAGAUAAGAAAUGCAAACCAAAUAUCAAUCCAAUAGCCUCUUCAAUAGAUGGCGAUGCUAACCAAGAUGUACAAGUGAAGGCUCACUCCUUCCUCACGGCCAAAUAUCAAUCCAAUAGCCUCUUCAAUAGAUGGCGAUGCUAACCAAGAUGUACAAGUGAAGGCUCACUCCUUCCUCACGGCCAAAUAUCAAUCCAAUAGCCUCUUCAAUAGAUGGCGAUGCUAACCAAGAUGUACAAGUGAAGGCUCACUCCUUCCUCACCCCAAACACACUUUGGUUGAGUCAAGGAGUUUUACAACUAUUCAAGUUAACCCUCAACAACCUACACUUGAAAGAUCACUCACCCAAAUAAGAACUAUUUUAUACAAAUGAGGCAACCUUCACCAAGGUUUUACCACUUCAAGUGAUAGGUUCACCUUCACCAAGGUUUUACUCCUCCUAGAGAGUAACCUUCACUUCAGCAAUCUCACAACCCAACUUUCCCAACCCCUUAUACAACCAACAAAGAAUCUUUCUAUUCAAAAAUCUCACUUGUAAGCUUGUAUUUUGUGUUGGCAAAAGUCUUGUGUCUUCUUGUGCUUUGGGGUGUUUAUAGAAGGUGAGAAAUGGCUCCAAAAGGCUCUCCAACGGUCAAAUAUUAAAUGCUGUCAAAACUAGCCAUUGGCCUGUCGGACGUCCGAACCACCUGUCGAACGUUCGAACCCUGCGUCCAAACCACCUGUCGGACGUCCGAACCAUGCGUCCGAACGUCGUCAGAGAGUCAUCAAAUCUUUGCGAAAUUUCUCGGACGUCCGAUGCGAUCGAUGUGCGUCCGAUGCGUGCGUCCGAUCCUUCCGGACGUCCGAUGCUUCCUCACGAGCGUCCGACAGAGUUUCCUUCUUGAUGUUCUUCAUCCUUUCGGACGUCCGAUAGCUUCCUUUCGGACGUCCCACAUGAGUGCCCUGUUUUUGCUUCUUCUAACAAAUUGCUCACAUAAAAACAUAAGCCCAAAUCUACAUUUUGGUUUGUUAAUCAUCAAAACCAAGGAUUGAUCGACCAAGGUCAACAUCAUCUCCUUCUUUCUUACUACUGCAAUUCUGGCGACAGCCAGAUUGCUUCUGCUCCAUCCCAGUUCGUCGGAAGUUGUAGUCUUCCUUCCCGUGAUAGUUUUGUCCACGGUUGAAGAAGUGGUCAUCAUAAGCUUGUCUCUUGUCUUUGUUGGCCCCUUCUUCGCAGGACAAAAUUUCCGCACUUUUCCCCAUUUUUGCAAUGGAAUCUAGCAGUAACUUUGGGUCUACUUUGCCUGCAACAUACACCAACUUCUUUUCUGGAUCCACUGCAACCGAAUAGACUCCUGGAUAGCAUUACACAGCCGAAUUUUCAGAUCUCGAACACAAGCAUAAUUAGUUAAGGUAGCCAUAUAUAUAUAUAUAUAUAUAUAUAUAUAAAAACAUUGAAUUCGGAUUGGGAAAUUGGAAAACAAUCUUAAAAGAUACAAAACAUAAAGGUAUUGUAGCGAACAACGUAGAAGAACUACUAUGACCAUUGAUACUCCAUAAUGCUUUCUUGAGCGUCUCAGGGCAGUCCUUGCAGCAAUUUAUGUUCACUCUAAGAACAAUGAUCUGUGGGUUAAAAUAAAAGUGCUAGUUAUUAUUUAUUUAUACUAAAGCGUCCAAAAAGAAAGAAGAAAUGUAACAUGCUAAAAUGUGCUAAAUUAAAUUAAAGUGAUCUGAGUACCGGAUAAAGAACGUGAGUUUGAUCCAUCGUCAAAGACUUGAAUUAACAGAAGAGACUAAUUUAAUUCUUGGUGAUCUUCUUCGCUUCAGACAAGCGGAGAGUUAUUAAAAUCUGUUCCAAAAACUCUGGAGGGGAAUAGGAGAGAGCGAUGACAAAAAGGUUGCGACGAGUUUUUGAGGAUGGAAGAAAAUGCAGAGGCAGCGAAUCUAUAGCAUUGAUGGGAUAUAUAAAUGCAAAAUUUACAUAUGCUUAACAUUUUAGUUUUAAAAAAGAAAAAAGGGGAAAAUCUUACAAGUUUCUCUACGGGGAAAGAACCUAAAAAUGUCCAAAAAAGAUCAGAAAACAGAUUUUGAGGAACCAGUUAAGACAUGCAUGAUUAUUUGACCGACAAAGAAUCUGCCUACCUCAAUUAAGUUAUUUGUCUCUAUCUCCUUUGAGCCACGUAAUUAGAGUAUCCAUGAGAGAUCUUUAGAUUUCGAUUAGAGAAAAUGGACACAAAGGCCUGUUAUCCUCCCUAAAUUACGCAAAGAAAGGAAAUUUAUUAAUUUCUGGUUUAAAAAAAAAAGUUAUGAUAAUAUUAGUACGUAUAUUGGAUUGACGAGGGAAGGAAAGAAAAUCACAGUGAUACCGUCAACAUGGGCACCGGGAAGUCCCUUUUGAACAAGUAAUUCCAAUUAUCAUCUCAGUUCAAAGAAAACUCCUCCUUUUUUUUUUUUUUUUGGGUGGCAAAUAACUAAAAUUUUUGGAUGAAUUCAAGAAUGCUGGGACUGGACUUGCAGGCCCCGUUCUGAGUUGUAAAAAUCUUGGGACCAAUCCAGAAUAUUCAGCGACUGGAUUUAUUGGCGCUUUUUUCGUUUUCAACGCGCUUAUAUGAAACUUUAUAUGUAACCGCGAGUCCAUUGGGCUAAAUCUCAGUUACAGAUAAUUUUUCUCGAUUUACUUUUAUUAAAAUGUAAAUAUAAAUUCUCUGCUUCAUUUUUGGAGCCUAAAAUUCGCUCUUUUUUUGCCCCUUUUAAACAGGCACACUAGGCACAUUACAACUCCAUGUGAUUAUUUCUUUUCCCAUUCUCUUGCAGCAAUUCCUAGUCUUUCAAAUUAAAAGUAUUCUGUUUCUAAGGAUUUGCGGUCAUUGAACGUCUAUUCUCCACCUGUACAAAAUAUUUAUGGCUCUGCUCACAAGCCCGCCAGAAGAAACUGCUUAGCCACCAGGGUGCCCGGAGGUGAGGCGGCUUCCAAGUACAAAAGCUAGCACCGUCCAAGAAACAACUUAUCAAAUAUAAACGAUGUCAAGGCCAUCUUAAAAAUAUCCCGUACGGUGAACUCCAAAACAUUUCUGACCAACCACAUUCUACAAAGUAAACAAUUGAGAAGUUUGCUAAUACAAAUAUAAGCCAUAAAACUGAUACGUCAAAUAUCUCAAUCCAAGGCUCAUGCACAAUAAUGUCAUUGCUAGAUCUUUAGCCACCACGAGCUUCCCUUCUAGUUGCAUCAUGAAGCAGUUCGAUGUCAACUCCCUCUGGUGGUAACUGGACGUAUCUCACCACUGACCCUCUAAUGAAGCAGUUCCUCACCGAAAGCUGCAAUUGAAUGACCAGAUGAAUGGAUAAUUCCAACAUUAUGUCAAGCAAAAUUUAAGAACAAUCCAGAUGUAAGAUGAGAACGCGAGGAAUAUGGCCUAGGAAGGGGCAUGAUAUCUAAACUGAUCUGAACGUGUUAAAAUUGAGAACUUGAUUGGAUAGAGGGAAAGGAUUAACAGUUCCAAAAAAAACACUAAAUAAGUUUAAAUCAAUAACAGCUAUGGGUGCAUCUCAAAAAAAAUUCUGACACGAACACAAGUAUGCCCUGUCCUGGAUGCUGCCAAACCAAGAAGAAGAGUAUCAUAAUGCCACUAAAGGUUCAUCAUAUCCAACAUGCUAAAGGCCGCCAAUCGUGGACGUACCAGAUGCCUUGUUGGAACCACGAGGUCCACUGCUUCCAAUUCCCAAUAGGAGCCACGCUUACCAUUUUUUCAUUCUAAAUUAUCUUCAUAAGUCAGUGACUAUAAUCAUCUUAUAACAAUAUGAGAUGAAAUCUAAACUUUUCAUUCAGGACAGACUUACUAGUCAUUACAUUAACACAAGGGGCAAUAGCCAGCUCUGUACUUCCAGUAGGUUUAAUUCCGUAUUUGUCCUGACAAGAAUAGAUUGCCAAAUACAGCCCAGUAGAAGCAGAGACAUAAACAAUAUAAUGAGAUGACAAUAAUUUGUUCAGACCCAUCCACAGACUAACUUCUCAUACAUGGUGGCAGAGAAGAAUAGUGAAUCUCCUAUAACAAUAGAAGAACCAAAUCAGACACGGGAAACAGCCACAAACACCUAGACCGUUAGUUCCAACAGUGGACUAAAAAACGUUUGAGAGUUCUGACUGAAAACUUUUAGACACAACUGAUAAGGCCUCCCCAACCCACCCCCUUGUUGCAGCAUUCCUUAAAACCGUGAUCUUUUUUAUUCUUCAAUCAGAAAAGAUGUGCAUCUAACAUUGCUAUAGCACAUAGUAUUCGAUAAACCUUCUAACUAGAACUGCAAAGUUUUGUUAGAAAAUUAUUCGACCUUUUCAUCCAUGAAACCUCUAACAUUUUCAACUAUAUAUUACUCCUUGGAUUAGAGAAGCACAAAAAGGCAAAAUAUCAUUCAGCUUCCAUUAUACCUUUGUCAAUACACUUGAAAUGAAGAACAAUAGAUCAUGAAAUUUACCUUUACCAGAAAAUCAAAACCAAUCACAAAAGUUAGUCAAUUUUCAAAAAUUAUUCAUAAGCUCACAGAUUGAUGUACAAGAAAGGACCAAUAGUUGUAAUAUAUUUUGGUCUUUGAAAAACACACUACAUGUUUGUAAAGUUUUUAUGCAUCUUGUAUGAAAAAUCAGGUUCCUCAGGAAAGUAACGAGUACAAGAAGCACUUGAAAAGAACAAUACAUUUACAAAACCCAGAGUCACAACAAGAAAACCGAAAACCUUAAAGACUACAACACACUCAAAAAUUACUUAAACUAUAAAGUCAUUCAAGAAAACCAUGGCACCACAUCCUUCUCAUGUUGAUUCCUUGUUAAGAUUCCAAAAUCACAUGUUAGAUUCAUACACUUUCGUAACACUUUUAACAAAGCAAAAGAUGAUCAAAGAGAGAUACAAAUCACGCAUUGAACAGAAAAUUUCUUAGCACAACAUCAAAAUCAAACGAGAAAUUGAAUAAUUUUCACUCGAAAUUAUCAAAAGCCCUAAAACCCACAACAGAAACAUAACCCUAGAAGAAAAGAGUAGAAACGCCUGUACCAUGUGGGGAUAGUUUUCUUGAUCAACAACCCUAGUAUUUUCAAGCUUGAUAUUGAGGUACUGAUCGACCGAAUGGAGGGUCCCUCGAAUUGCUAAAUCAUUCUUUAGUUCCACAGUGACUUCUCUGCCUACCAAAUCCUUGAAAUAGGAGAAAAACAACUGCAAGAAAACACGAAUCCACGUCACAACAAUUGAAAAAGACAGUCCUUGAGGAAAGCAUUAAAAUUCUUAUUGAAGCAUCAAAAAUUUGAAAACGAAAUUUAAAAGAGAGAUAGCCUCAAAGAACAGUAUGUAUUGGAAAUAGAAUAGUAUCACCAUUCUGAUUCUUUUGGUUUAUCUGUGCUCCGGCCGGGACGAACUCUUGAGACAGGAAGAUUUGAAGCUGAACAAGGAAAGCUGAGCAGCAAAGCAACUCUCAGGAAAGGGUCUCGGGGAAGGAAAGGGGAGACUACUGGUUUAGUACUACGAUUUUUCUCUAGGCAGGUUAUUGUGGGGCGGACUGGGUUGGCCACCAUGAGGGAUUUUAAGUCCUUGGGCCUAUUGGCUAUUACUCUUGGGGCAUAGAACGGGGGAUUUCAAAACCCCGAUUUGUAUUUCAAAUUCAAAAUUUUCUAAAUUUUGUUCAAAACCCCGAGUUUGUUUGGACAAAGAGAUUUUGGAAAAAAAAAUUUUGCCUCACAAAUCCCAAUCACCUUUUUAUCUUCCCAACCAUCUUUUUAUCUCACAUACAUCACAUCACAAAAAGUGCUACAGUAAAUAUCUCAAAUAAAUCAUCCAAAUAAACUCUUAUCCAAACAAACUAAUCCGUAGGCGAUUUAUUCUCCUCUCGGUCCUUCAUUGACCCUUUUGCGUCUACCCUUCCCCUUUGUGUAGAGGUGGAGCAAGAAUUGCAUGAAAAUUAUCGUGUCAAAUUUUUUUUAAAAAAAAAAGAGGUUUUUUGAAGAUUUCUAGGGAGGUUUAUGUAAUUAUGAGAAAUUACAGUGGAGCUCAACAAAAAUUAAAUAUAAUAAAGAGUUGAAUCCACUUUUUAGUCAAGGGCUAACCUCACAGGAUUUGCUAAUUGAAGACACCAGACAGACAACUGAGUCGAUAGUAUGUACCCUAAUGCAUUUCCACUUCUAAAUAUGUACGUUUGUUUUUUUUUGUCAGACUUUUUCAAGUAAAACAAUUAAACCUAAUCCCAAAGUCCACCUCAAAAGCCGGCAACUCUUGAGGCAACCUUGGGGACUUAACUACCCAACCCUCAAACCCCUUAGAAUCGAUGUGGGACAACGGGAAGGUAGGAAGGGAAACUUCUACUAGACCUUAACUAAGACCCACUUACCCCAGAAUUCCCCCCCGACUUACGUCUUUGUCUUUUUUUGUCAGAAUUCCCCCCUUAAAUAUGUACGUUUGUUGGAUACAUACUUUGAUAAAUACUUUUUGUAUCGGAGAAUGCGUAAUUUAAAAUUUUUAAAAUAUAUUUAUAUCUUUAUUAAAUUUGGGAUGAAAUGAUUAAAUUUAAAGUUUUAUUUUUUUCAAAUACAAAAAUAAUUCUAAAAGUACUAAAUUUAAAUUUCAGCUAAGGGCCUGUUUGGAAUUGCAGUAUUUUAUUGAAAAAUAUUUUCCCGAUAAAGCUUUUAAAGGCUCAUUUGAAAUUGAGAUAACUUAUUGAAAAGUAGUUCAUCUGAUAGAACUUUUAAUAUAAGCACUUAUUGAGUUUUUAAGUACUUUAAAUAUAUUGUUUGGGUACAUAGUUUAGUGAGUACUUAUCGUAUUAGAUAAUGUGCUAUUUUUAAAAUUUUUAAGUUUAUUUAUCUCUUUAUUUAGUUCAUAAUAUAGGAUGAAAUAAUAAAUUUAAUAUAUAUUUUUAAGCACAAAAAACUACUCUAAAAGCACCAAAUUGUUUAUGAAAUGAUGUUUACCAAAUAACUCAAAAAUACUUUUAGCAUCGAAAAUUACUUUCUAUUAAAAGUAUCACAACUCGUACCGACCUAAAAGUGCUGUCAAAGGUGCUUUUUUUUUUCUUUUUUUUUAACAAAAACACCACACUCCAAAACAAGAUCUCAAUGGUACUUUCUCCUUUUUUUUUUUAUCUCUCAUAAUUUGCCAAAUGACGGGUCUCUUCCCUAUUCAAUAUCUCUCUCUCUCUCUAUUUAAUUGUAAGUGGAAGGAUCCAGACUUCUCAAUUACACGUAGGGAUGGCAAUGGGGGCGGAUGCCCGCGGGCAACCGCCCCGCGGGGGGCUCUCGGGGCGGGGGUUGGGGCGGGGGAUGGGGCGGGGGCGGGGGGGUAUUUUUUCCCCCCGUUUAGAAACGGGGGGGGGGCGGGGGAGUAUAUCCCCGCCCCGCCACCCGCAAAAAAAAAAUAUAUAAUUAUAUAUAAUAUGUAAUUUAAUUAGUUAUAAACUUAUGAUAAUGAUAUUAUUAGUUAGAUGUAUUAUAUAAUGUAUAUUAGUGUAUGUAAUAUAAUUAAUAUUAUCAAUUAUACGAAUAAUUAGAGAUGUCUACUAAUAGAAUUUAUUAAUUAGUUAUACUAAAUUUACUAAUACAUUUAUACUAAAUUUAUAAUUACACUUAAUAGAAUAACACUUUUUCUCAAAAAAAAAGCACAAACACAAUAAUGAAUUAGUGAUUGUAUUUGUACCAAAAGUGAAAACUUAACUAUUUUAAUUGUAUUUAUUUCAUCAUGUUGGAUUGUAUUCAAAUAAUUUUUGUUUGAUUGUUUUUAUGAGUUUCAAUUGUAAAAUUAAAAUGAAUAAUAACUUGAUGAUGUGUUGAUAUUUUAGUACUUGAUUAUUUAUUAAAAUUUAACUAUAAUAAAAUUUUAUUAACCUAGCGGGAAAAAUUUUAUUAACCCCGCGGGGGAAGCGGGGCGGGGCGGGGGCGGGGCGGGAGGAGUGGGAGACGGGGGACGGGGCGAGAGGGGGGGGAGUUUGUAGGUAGCGGGGCGGGGGAUGGGGGAGGGGUCCCCCGCCCCAACCCCGCCCCGUUGCCAUCCCUAAUUACACGCCCUCCUUCCCGAACCACUCAACCCCUCCCUUUGGUCUCUUUUGGAUUGCGACUUUUGAAUUUUUAUAAGAAAAUAUAUUAUAACAAUUUGAUUUAUAUGAGAUAAAAAAUUAUUGAAAAAUGUGUUCAAUAUAAAAAUAAAAAUUUUUAUUCGAAAAUUAUAGUCCAAAAUUGCAAACAAAGUGAAAAUCUUGUUUAAUACUAAAUCAAAUCCUCACGAGCCAUUAUUGUGAUAUAUAUUUUUUUUCUUUUUAAUAAGUAAGAUGUUUUGAAUUUAGAAUCUCCUAUUUAUAAUCAAUCAUAUCUUAUUACCCAACCCAACCCAACCCUCUACUUGUUAAGCUUCAAACGGGCAUCAAAGUGGGAAUUCCCAAAAUGGUGACAUUGUUGUUCACGGAAUACCACUGUAAUUGAGUGGGAAAAGAUAGUAUUAAAAGGAGAAUGUUUAAUUACACCCCCUAAUCCCAAAUCCCGGCAUUACGUGUUAAUGCUAAAAGACAUCAAUGCACUCAAUUAAGCCUUGAAGGUAUUAAUUUAAGAUAGAGGUGUGUAAAUGUAACUUCUCCAAAAUAAAAAGUCAUUUUACUUCUUCCUUUGCUGUAAAAUGGUUUUCCACCGAGCAAUAGAAGGACAAAUGUUUUGGCUCCCGAGUCCCGACUAAGAUCAAGCGGACAAAAGCUAUAGAAAGGCCAACCACACGAGGUUCCUUGAUUCCUAGUUCAUUCAUGCAACUUCUUAAUAAGCUCACUUAAAUUUCCAGUUUCAAAACACACCCCCUCUUGUCAUCGAGAGGAAAUAGUGGUUAAACAACAUAACGUUGAGAUUGAUUAUUCCGACUAGGAAUACAUGAACACCUACAGCCAAGCUUAAAGCGCAGCCGACUAGGAAUAACUGCAGCCGUCUGCACUGUAUUGCGUUGAUGCCAAAGAAAUACUUGUCCACGUCUAAAAGAGUCAACAGCUUGUUAAAUUUAUGGCCUAAUAUUACAGAGAACCAUACAUCUACAAACUCACAACGUAAUGCGUUUAAAGAUUCUGAUAUUCGAGAAAACCGACACUCCAGAAUUGUAACAAGAUCAUGACACAUACACAGGGAAGGCACUACAUUUACAACUUUGUCAAUCUAGAAGCUGCAUUCAGAAAAUUGUCUCUCUAAACCCUGCAAACUGAUUU